GACGAACGCUGGCGGCGUGCUUAACACAUGCAAGUCGAACGGAAAGGCCCUGCUUUUGUGGGGUGCUCGAGUGGCGAACGGGUGAGUAACACGUGAGUAACCUGCCCUUGACUUUGGGAUAACUUCAGGAAACUGGGGCUAAUACCGGAUAGGAGCUCCUGCUGCAUGGUGGGGGUUGGAAAGUUUCGGCGGUUGGGGAUGGACUCGCGGCUUAUCAGCCUGUUGGUGGGGUAGUGGCUUACCAAGGCUUUGACGGGUAGCCGGCCUGGGAGGGUGACCGGCCACAUUGGGACUGAGAUACGGCCCAGACUCCUACGGGAGGCAGCAGUGGGGAAUAUUGCACAAUGGGCGGAAGCCUGAUGCAGCAACGCCGCGUGCGGGAUGACGGCCUUCGGGUUGUAAACCGCUUUCGCCUGUGACGAAGCGUGAGUGACGGUAAUGGGUAAAGAAGCACCGGCUAACUACGUG
rnacentral:rRNA from 1 species